GGAUCGAUAGCUCAGUGGUAGAGCGGGAGAUUGCAGAUCUUCAGGCCGCGUGUUCAAACCACGCUCGGUCCU